GGUGCUGUAAAAAAAGCCAAUUUACAUUGAAGUGAAUAAUUAAUAAUGAAACAUAAAAUAACAAAACAAUAAGGCAUGCUGCAAUAAAAACUUAAUAAUUUUGUUCAUAACGUAGUGUAUUCUCCUUCAACUACAAAUUGGCAUCAAGUAUACUAGGAAAACAGGACACUAUUUCUUCUUUCUCUGCACUCUAGUCUUCUCAUUCAAAGCAGGAGCACCCUUCCUCCUUGCUAGACUUCCUAUAACGUUAGUCUCACUGAUUGACCCAUCUUCUUGCUUCUUUGUAGCAUAGUCUCAUAGUAGAGUCCAUAGUGUGUACGGUAUUGGUCAAUAUCCGAAGGGUCUGCAAAAAUGAUAAACUGUUUCAAUAAGUAAAAUACAUAAAAAUGACCCAUUAAUCUACAUAUUACAUACAUCUAACUACAACUUCAAUACACACAUAUCUAAAAAUACAUGAGGAAGAAACAAUAAAUACCGAUCUGCUGUAAAAAAAAUACAGCAUAACAUACAAUUCUGCUUCAAUUUGUAGUAGUUACCUAACAUUAUAUCUACAAUAAAACUAUAAAAAAAUCUAACCAACAAUACAAUUACAAUUUAAUGCCUUUUCCACAAAAAGAAACCAAAACCAGAUAACUACAAUUCUACUUCAAAUAUUAGUUGUUACAUAAUAUUAUUACUACGAUAAAACUAUAAAUAUAAGUAAAAGUUAUAAAUGCAGAACAUCACAACUACAAUAAUCUUCAAAAUUAAGCCCAUUAAACUACAUUUGUGAAAAACAUGAAUAACACAAAUUUUAACCUCAUAACCAAAAAAAAAUUAGAAAAUAAACUAUAAUAAAUGUAUACCUUCGUCAAUGAUUGGUUCUGAACAAUUUUAGGGAGUUUUUUUUAAUGUUUCUUCAUAUUUAGAUUUUUAAAACCAAGAGACACAUUUGAUUUCUUUCUUGUUCAAAGAGUAGGGACCUUCUCUACAAAGUCGUCAUCCUCAACAAUGUCUUUCCCUUUUUGACUUGUUUGACUGUUGUAGAACAUUCUCCAACAUCUACAUCAAGUUUUUUUUUCUCAUUCAGCACUUAUUUGUCAGGGAGAUGAAGUAUGACUAAUAUCUGUAAUUGUAUGUGUAGAUUUACCUAGGUUUUUGGGUGUUUUGGGGGAUAAAACACCCAAAUCAAAGGAAGAUAAAUCACAUAGUGCUGUUUUUUGGACUCUUUUUCGAACCUUCCUUGAUCUUCACUGAUGAACUUCAACUAAAUAAAAUGUUGAUAGGAAUUUGUUUAAAGAGUUUAUUGAAUUUUGUUUGAAUUUAGAGGGAAAGUGGGUGGUUUCAGAGGAAGGACAAUGGAGAAAGAAAUGUGGGAGAUGGGGUACGGGGAUGAGGGGUUAGGAGAGAGAAAGUGAAGAUUAGUACUUUAAUAUAAAGGAAAGGCUUAAAUUAAGGAGUAUAAAAUAUUUGACUUAAUUUUUUGCAACAAUCAAAUACUAGAAAAUGAUUUAUAUUUUUGGAAAAUAUAUUUCUUCAUAUGAAGAGCACUGUGCUAAUGUGCUUCAGGUAAAUGGAAGUACACUUCCAUACAAGGUAAAGGAAGGAGCUGUUGCCUUGCCUUUUUUGCCCAUAAUAACAAGAAGAACAAAUAAUGAUCACAUAAUACUGUUUUCUUACUUUAGAUUAAUCAAAAGCCAACUCUUCGCUAAUUAUUUCACUUGCAUUUUUGAGCAGGUUGAUGAGAUCAUUGAUCAAUCAUGAUCAGCUUUCUAAUUACCUUCAUCAGCAGUCACUGCCAUGACACUGACCUUGAAACCACACUUUUAUUGCACUUCCCUUAACAAGUGAGACCCCAAAAAUUAAUAUCCCCAAAUGAUAAGCACUAAUUCGUUAUUAUGCUGAAGGCUGAACCUCACAUGUUGGAAUCUUGUAAUUUUUUUAAUGACCGAGAAAUUCGUUGAUUCUAACUAACUAAGAAAGUCGGUGAAUUAUUAUGCAUUUGCCCUUCUAUCCUUCUUCACUUAAAUAUCAAAUUUUGUUCACACAGCAUAAUUUGAACUCAUGAGAUGCAUACAGUGUUGGAGGCACGAUAUCACCAAGGGAAUUUUUAUAAAAAAAAAAAGUUAAAAAAAAACUAAAAGAAGUGGGAAAUGAACCAAUGACCCCACAAAGGUUUUGAACCCCCUCAAUCACUAAGUUAUGCUUUUGGGUUACAUCAAGGGGAUUCAAAAUAUACUAUAAAUAGAUACAAAAUAGAUUUUACCUUAGGUUGACCCCAUUCCACUCCCCUAAAUCCACCCCUAGAUGCACGUACAAAGAUUUUUAUGUGUGAAACAAAGGGGGCCCGCAAUGUUCGGCAAAACUUUGUGCACACACACAUAUAUACAUAUAUACACACACACAACAUACACAUACACACAUACACACACAUACAUACAUAUAUAUAUAUAUAUAUAUAUAUAUAUGUUCAUAAAAUAGUGAUACAUAAUAACAGUGACGCUCUAUCUACAGAAUAGAUUUUGGUUGAAUUCAAAAGUGCAUCCACGAUCUUCAAAUCCUGAAUCCGCCUAAAAAGGGGAGAAAUCAUUGACAAGAAAGAGACUUAAGAAAGAAUGAUGCUUUGUUAAGAGUUUCACCUUCUUUUGUCAUUCUUGAUCAGUCUUGUCCAAGUAGCAAAGGGGAAUUGUUGUGAACAUGACCUGUUGAGAUCCAACUGAUACAUACGAGAAGACUUAUGUAGUAAAACCAAACAAAGAUAGCAUCAAUUUUGGGAGUGGUGGAUCCCAUAUUUUGAGGCAUCAAUCUUUU
rnacentral:lncRNA from 1 species